AUGGUCAAAAAGCUACAUGGUCCUGAAAGGCUAUUAUCAACCAUAAAGGACAUUUCCCCAACUUCUCAGGAAAAGCUCUGCAAAGCCAUGGACUCAAUUUAUAUUCUUCAUACAAACAAUCUAAAAGAAUUUUCCAUAGAAAUUCCUGAUGAGAAAGAUGAUAAGCUUACUUGCUGCAAGGAUGUUGCAAAAUACAUAGCCUCUGAGGAUGGUAUGUUUCAAUAA